rnacentral:lncRNA from 1 species
CGUCCCACUUAGAUUUUUAUUUGAAAUCAGGAUAGACUCAGAAAAAAAUAUGUAAUUCGAUUUGAGCCAUUCCUAUAUAUUCUACAUGUACAUAGACGCCCACAUCUGUGCAUAUAUUGAUAUUAUGUAUAUGUACGUAUGGACAUACAUACACACACACGAGAAACAGUAAAAGCAUCCAAUAGUAUAGAAUAUGUAACACACACGCACAGAAGGCACCUGGAACACAAGCAGAAUUGACUGUGUUGGUGAUACGGCCACUCAGUGAAAUGUAUCUUGUGGUCUGUCAUCCUUCCUUUCAGUCAUUUCAAGUACGAGGCUGAGAAAAACACGGUCUCCGAUCCAACUUGGACCUGGCGCGCCUCCUGAGGAACCGGAAGGAUGAGAGGAACCGAUUGCAGCGGCGGUUUAUUUACACGGAUGCACACACCCCUUUCACGUCGGCGGGAGGCCACGUAGGCCUGGGGAAGGAUUUUGCCGGCGUACCCGGAAUGGUUUCCUCAGCUUUGGUUGGGCGGGGGAGGGUAGCGCAGCGGCGCGUUCUGGGAGCCGAAGAGACCGAGAUCUUCCCGGGCUCUUGAGAGUGUUACCUCUUUCGCGGCAACAAUGGCUCGGGUGUCUCGCUCGCGCGGCCCGGAGUGGGAAGCGUCGCAGUUCGUCGAAGAGCCCCGAGCCCGCGGGGCGGCCGCUCUCGUUCGCACUCUUGCUCUCGGCCCGGGGACCGGAAUGGCCUCGGCCAUCAGCUGGGUGGCCUCAGCCGAGGCUCCCGAAACCAGCUCUGCGGCCCUGGCUUGCGGUGUCGUUCGCGAGAGCUGCCCUCGGCACCUCGGUGCUCCCCUUCCGCUUCUGCGUCCUCGUCCGCUGAGCGCUGCCGCCACUCGCGCCGCUGCGGGAGCGACGAGCCGGGACCCAGCCUCCUGGACCGGGAGGAGCCUGGCAGUUUCACAUGAGGAAGACAGCAUGAAGAAAGCCAAGAACUCCAUUAAGAGAUCACUACGUAAACCCAGGAGAAGCAAGCCACCAAAACUUCAGUUUUUCUUUUCCUCUGAGUUUGCUUUGCCUGCUUGA